rnacentral:rRNA from 1 species
CCUACGGAGGCUGCAGUGGGGAAUAUUGGACAAUGGGCGAAAGCCUGAUCCAGCCAUGCCGCGUGUGUGAAGAAGGCCUUCGGGUUGUAAAGCACUUUCAGUGGGGAAGAAAGCCUUGGGGCUAAUACCCUCGAGGAAGGACAUCACCCACAGAAGAAGCACCGGCUAACUCCGUGCCAGCAGCCGCGGUAAUACGGAGGGUGCGAGCGUUAAUCGGAAUUACUGGGCGUAAAGCGCGCGUAGGCGGUCUGAUAAGCCGGUUGUGAAAGCCCCGGGCUCAACCUGGGAACGGCAUCCGGAACGGUCAGGCUAGAGUGCAGGAGAGGAAGGUAGAAUUCCCGGUGUAGCGGGGAAAUGCGUAGAGAUCGGGAGGAAUACCAGUGGCGAAGGCGGCCUUCUGGACUGACACUGACGCUGAGGUGCGAAAGCGUGGGUAGCAAACAGGAUUAGAUACCCCUGUAGUC